GGUAGGAAUACAUCGGAACGUACCUUUUGGUUGAGAAUAGCGUCGGGAAACUGACGGUAAUACUCAAUAAAGUCGAGAGACCAAAGGCUUGCUGCCGGAAGAGCGGCCGAUGCGAUAUUAGGUAGUUGGUGGGGUAAUGGCCUACCAAGCCUGAGAUGUCUAGGGGGUGUGAGAGCAUGGCCCCCACCACUGGGACUGAGAAACUGCCCAGACACCUACGGGUGGCUGCAGUCGAGGAUCUUCGUCAAUGGGCGAAAGCCUGAACGAGCGACGCCGCGUGCGGGAUGAAGGCCCUUGGGUUGUAAACCGCUGUCAGGGGGGAUGAAACCGUAAGGUUGACAGAGCCCCAGAGGAAGCACGGGCUAAGUUCGUGCCAGCAGCCGCGGUAAUACGAACUGUGCGAACGUUACUCGGAAUCACUGGGCUUACAGGGUGCGUAGGUGGCUUGAUAAGCAGGGUGUGAAAUCCCUCGGCUCAACCGAGGAACUGCGCUCUGAACUGUCGGGCUAGAGUAUGCUAGAGGUGAAUGGAACAUCCAGUGGAGCGGUGAAAUGUGUUGAUAUUGGAUAGAACACCAGAGGCGAAGGCGAUUCACUGGGGCAUAACUGACACUGAGGCACGAAAGCCAGGGGAGCAAACGGGAUUAGAUACCCCGGUAGUCCUGGCCGUAAACGAUGAGAACUGAGCGGGGGGGGGCUUG
rnacentral:rRNA from 1 species